UUUCCAUUUUAUUUCUAGCUUUCUAGGAGCUUUUGUUAAGGUAAAAAAUUGUUUUGGUUUGUGGGCUGAAAGAGUUAAUGAAUUUUCCAAAGGUGCCAAGCUUCACUCCAGCAAAGUUCACACUCUCAGCUCUGUGCGAGUGAGCACGCGACCCCACCCCCUUCCAGAUGACAGAGAGCAAAGCCAGAGUUCCUUAUUUAACUGGUUUGCAUCCACGCCCUGACCUCCGGGGCUCUGUUUAUAUAGUCUAUCAUGCAAAAUACUCUGCAGUUCUCUGCCUUCAAAAGCAUGUCUCGCCUGAGAUUUGAUAUAUGGCUUUCAUGUUUGAUCACUGCAUUAAACCCAAUGCUCUGCUUCCUCCAGCAUCGGCUAGCUUCCUGCUUGGGUGGUGGGCUGAAAUGCACAGCUUCUUGCUAGUGCUGAACAUAAAAGGAAGUCUGUUUUACUCUCUUAAUAAAGUGGCCAAUUCCACGAGCUCGUAGGCAAGAGACAUGCACUAGGAGCUCACGUCUAGCACAGAAACUUCCCAGCUUCUUUAGAAAGAAGGCCAGCUCACUACUCUCAUCACGUGGGGCUGGAGAGAUGGCUCAGCAGUUAAGAGCACUGACUGCUCUUCCAAAGGUCCUGAGUUCAAAUCCCAGCAACCACAUGGUGGCUCACAACCAUCUGUAAUGCGAUCUGAUGCCCUCUUCUGGUGUGUCUGGAGACAGCUACAGUGUACUCAUAUAAAUAUAAUAAAUAAAUUUUUAAAAAAAGAAAAAAAAGAAAUUACUGGACAUUAAUCUAGCCUACUUGACGAGCUCUAUGCCAGAGAAAUAGAGUCAGACGUGAUGGUACCUGCCUUUAGUCCACCAAAGGUUAUCGCCCUAGCCUCCAUAUACACAUGCAUGUACACACCACACACACACAUAUUCAUAAACAUGCACACAUGUGCACACACAUAAAUUUAAAAUAUAGCAGAAGGUUGUCCAUUGGCUUCUUUUACAUAUAUACAUAUAUAUAUAAUAAGCAAGCCUUUAUGUUAUUUUCUUCGUUGAUAAUUUAGUGUGUGCUCAACAGCUGUUUGGUUUUUUUUUUUUUUUUUAAUUAUAUGAUGGUAGUGAGAGCCUACCUUUCACCUCAGCCUGACGCUCAUCUAUACAAACCACAAAUGUUGUUCAUAAACUGGUUACUUCACUUAAUAAACCCUAAGUGCAUAUAUGUAUGUGCAUAUAUGCAAAAUAUGUCCGCACACACUUAGAUAACCUUUGAAAUCCUGGGCUUCCCUAGUCAUUGAUCACCAUAUUUAAUAUGGUGCUGGUUUUCAGCCAAAGAUCUUGCUUUGCCAAUCUGUGCACAGCAUUAAACCCAGCUGCAUCCGAUGGACAAUAAAGAAGCUGAACCUCUUAGAGCUGUACAUUUCAUUGUCCCAAUGUUUUCUCAUUCGUAACCAAAAUUUGCAUGAUAGAAAACUUGGAAGAGCAAACGCCGCGUUCCCUUCCUCUGGUUCCUCGUUGGUGGUGAGCUUAGAGUUUAGCGCUCAGAAGGGGGGAAAAACAUACUUAUUUCUUAAUUUUAAAACAUCUAAAUGUACUCCUUAGCUCAAUGCGAAAAUCAAAGUACACAUAAACUUUUAAUUCCUACUUCCCGUAAGACUUCAGACAUCUCUAACUGUAGUUUUCAAAGAUAUGUGCACGUUGUCUAACAGACAUUCAAAUAAUUGAAACUGGAGAAAAGAGUUGUGGGCAAAAACCGUAGGUCAAAGGAGUGAAAUGUGAGCCUGUACAGAUGUUAUAACUAUUUCCGCGAUAAACACUAGCCUUCUGUACACGAAUUUAGCAGCCCACUUUAAUUUGGAUUAGAAAUCUUAACAUAAAUUAUUUGACUUUGACACUAGCAGCCUAAUAUUUCAGAUUCAUACAUUAUUCACCGCUUUCACUUUUAAAAGGAACCUACUGGACUUCCUUACUUUUUAAAAGCCACAUUCAAGGUCUUGGACCUUAAAACCAACUUCUUGUCUGAUUUUUAAAGAACGGAAUUAUAUAAUCAGUGAGCAGCUGUUAUUACCUUAUUAUUUGGUGACUGGCAGGUUUUUUUUAAGGCAUGUAGUUUUUGUGUGAUUUUAAUCUCCAUCAAUUUAUUUAUUACUAUGCUUAGAGAUUUCAACUAUUAAAGACAUUUUCAUCCUGAUGCAAUUUCUCAGGGGUCAAUGGUCAAGUGUCAUCAAUGUCAUGCCAUCUUUAGUCUUCAUACUGUGAACACUUUGUGUCUGACUUUUUUUUUUUACCUUGUUGCAACAGUGACAUGCCUGGGGGACUUAAAAGUCCCAGAACAUUGGGACUAGAAAGGGUCUUGGAAUCCUAGCAUUCAAACCAGGUGGAUUUUUCUAGGCCAAAUCUAUAGACGUCGUCAGCUAAGAGUCCCUCUCAACUGGAGAAAGUCGCACAGCUGGAGUGGCCAAGGAUGAUCAGGCUCAUGAGAGGGAGAGGCUGGGGAGCCCUGUGACACCACUCUCAGAAGGAAUUUACAGCCACUCCACACGCUAAGGUGUUUUAGGCUGAGACACAGUGAAACUCAUAACUAAAAGUGUGACUUCUAAAUCAACAAGUUAUGUCAUUUCCCCCUGCAAAUUAUUAUCUAUUAGGGUUGAAAACUAAUGUCGAUGUAUUAAAAUCCAUCACAGGGCAAAUUUUGCAUCUUACUAGAGAACAGCACUGGGAGCUCCGCCUUGCACAGAUCUCAGUGGCAGGUGAAGGACUCAGCCUGGCAAGCAAGAGCACUCUACGACCACACCCAUGCUUAAUGACAGAGAGCAACCCAGUAUGGCUGAGAGCACCACUGUUGAUAAACUCUGGCCUGGUAGAUACAGAGCAAGGCGAUCUUAAUUUUCUAUGAUCCCCCCAAUAAAACAUUAAAACGUCUAUGUCAUAGAUGAAUUUCCAACUCUAUGGUACAAAACCCUUCAUACUUUGCUCCAUUACAAUGUAUCUUCCCCCAGCCCCUGCCCCAAAACACUUACAGACACUCUUCAAGCAUUCAAACAUGUAAGAUGCUUUGUCUAUUUACAAAGUGAUAUUCUGUUUUGAACAGUGAAAGUGUGCAACAGACAACCCUGUUUUUAAAAGGGAACUCUUUGCAGUUAGAGGGCAAUUAAUAAUUGUUUCAAAGUUAUUAAAGUUCCUAAAAUGAACAUCUCAAAUUAUGGUCUGAAGCAGCCUGUAUCUGAGAUGGGGCUCACGUUUUGAAAAGAGAUCGCUCAGUCUGUUUUAAAUCAAAAUGGUUCUUGAUAUACUAAAUUAUUUUUCAAAGCAUAAUGUAAAAAAAAUAUGUACUCAGAAUAACAUUAUUGGUGUAAACAUACCUGAACCAGAGUCAAAUUUGGUUUCUGACCUGCAAAGCAAAAAGAAAAAGGAAAUUAAUGUAAAAAUUAUAAAAAGAUCUGGGAUGGGAAGUGCAGUAACUAUAGAUUUCUCCAUAAUGGUCAAAGGAGGAAACCAUCCCCUUACAUGUAACUUAUAUAUUUAUUUCAACCAUUUCAAUUGAACGAAUAUAAAAAUUCAGGUCCCAUGGC
rnacentral:lncRNA from 1 species